rnacentral:lncRNA from 1 species
UGAGUUCUAAUACUUGAGUCUGUAGAAAGUGAGUGUCUCUUUCUCCGUUCUGUAGGACAAUGGAUUCACCAGCACAGAAAGCUUAGCAGGUACAGCCUCUAGGAGGGUCACCCUUAGAAGUAAACUAUCUAAAACCUUCUAGAAAAUAAAGACCAAAUCCAAGAAAUAAUUCAACAGAUCCAGGGAAAAGCAUCCAGCCAAAGACAGUUUGAUGAAGGUAAAAAUGAAGCAUUCCAGAGAAGUCAGAAGCAACAGCCAGCAGGAAGAAAUACAGGAGGUAAAAUGGAGGAUGAAUUAGAAGCAAAUAGAAGAACAAAGCAAAAGAUGAAGAAAACUUCACAACAGUCAUCUACAAAACAAAGUAGGUGCGUGUCCUGGAAUUCAGAACAAGCUGCUGAAGUACUGGCAAGGGCAACUCCUGAGCAGUAAUUAAAAUAAUUGACAUAUUUAAAACACUUCUCAUGCAUUAUAUCACUUGAGCCUCACAGCCUCCCUACUGGAUGAGUCCCAUAGUUUUGUCAUCCCCAUU